rnacentral:rRNA from 1 species
GACGGAGGAUGCAAGCGUUAUCCGGAAUGAUUGGGCGUAAAGCGUCCGCAGGUGGCAGUUCAAGUCUGCUGUCAAAGACCGGGGCUUAACUUCGGAAAGGCAGUGGAAACUGAACAGCUAGAGUAUGGUAGGGGCAGAGGGAAUUCCUGGUGUAGCGGUGAAAUGCGUAGAUAUCUGGAGGAACACCGGUGGCGAAGGCGGCAUCCUGGACCGAUACUGACACUGAGGAGCGAAAGCCAGGGGAGCAAACGGG